rnacentral:lncRNA from 1 species
GGUGAUGUGUGGAUGAGUGAUGCGUAAUGUGUGGAUAUGUAAUGUUAAUGUGUUUAUAGUAGAUAACAUGGACAAACUCUCUGUUUUGAUUCCAUAAAAUUAUACAACAAUACGUGGACAUAGACUCAUGUUACUAAAAUUAUACCAUAAAACGUGGACACAGACUAUGUUAUCUCCAAUACAAACACUUGGCUUCUUCAGUUCAAUUGAUAAAUUAUCUGCAAUUAAACUUCAAUCAAGAUGAGAAAUAAAUGAUAUUGUAAGUAUGAGCGGAGAGAAAAACCGAAGAAGCAUGUCAGAGAGUAAUAGAUCUUGCAUGUCAGAGAUUUUUGAUCUAAGCAUUUGCGCUUUGUCAUGAUGUGGAUGGAUGUAAUUUUGAUUAGAAUUGAAUUUAGAUUCCGAGAUGAUGAAUGGAAUCGAAGGAAUAUUGUCCAUAUCCACAACUAGUUUAUAAUUCUGUUAAGAUGUUUAUGUCCACAACUAAUUUAUAAUUCUGUUAUCCACGCUUUGGUGUCCACGUCCACAUUUUGUUUACACAUUAAUAUAUAUAAUAUAUAUA